UGGGGAAUCUUGCACAAUGGGGGCAACCCUGAUGCAGCGACGCCGCGUGAGCGAUGAAGGUUUUCGAAUCGUAAAGCUCUGUCCUAUGGGAAGAUAAUGACGGUACCCUAGGAGGAAGCCCCGGCUAACUACGUGCCAUCAGCCGUGGUAAUACGUAGUGGGCGAGCGUUGUCCGGAAUUACUGGGCGUAAAGGGUACGUAGGCGGUCUAUUAAGUCAGGUGUGAAAGCGUGAGGCUUAACCUCAUUAAGCACUUGAAACUGAUAGGCUUGAGUGAAGGAGAGGAAAGUGGAAUUCCUAGUGUAGCGGUGAAAUGCGUAGAUAUUAGGAGGAAUACCGGUGGCGAAGGCGACUUUCUGGGCUUUUACUGACGCUCAGGUACGAAAGCGUGGGGAGCAAACAGG
rnacentral:rRNA from 1 species